CAGGUCUUGACAUCCUUUGACAAUCCUAGAGAUAGGACUUUCCCUUCGGGGACAAAGUGACAGGUGGUGCAUGGUUGUCGUCAGCUCGUGUCGUGAGAUGUUGGGUUAAGUCCCGCAACGAGCGCAACCCCUAUUAUUAGUUGCCAGCAUUCAGUUGGGCACUCUAGUGAGACUGCCGGUGAUAAACCGGAGGAAGGUGGGGAUGACGUCAAAUCAUCAUGCCCCUUAUGACCUGGGCUACACACGUGCUACAAUGGAUGGUACAACGAGUCGCAAGGUCGCGAGGCCAAGCUAAUCUCUUAAAGCCAUUCUCAGUUCGGAUUGCAGGCUGCAACUCGCCUGCAUGAAGCCGGAAUCGCUAGUAAUCGCGGAUCAGCACGCCGCGGUGAAUACGUUCCC
rnacentral:rRNA from 1 species